rnacentral:lncRNA from 1 species
GUGGGCUUCCUUUUCACUUCUUCUUCACCAUCAUUCACGCCAUAUACACCAUACGCACACAGAUCAGGAGAGAGGCAUAAAUUGCACACACAAUACCAAGAACACACACCCCUCUCACACCUACACACCCUAAAUCAGACGCAUACACAGAAAAAAAAGGGAUAGAGAAAGUGAAAUCGAGAGAGAAGGUGAAUGGAAAAAGGAAUUUGGGUGAGAAAUUAAGAAAGAGAGAGAUGAAAUCAGAGAGAUGUGACAGCGAAUCGAUGCUGAGAGAGUGAAAUCGAGAGAGGAGGUGAACGGGAAAGGGGAUAACGGGGUAAAUCUAGUGUGUCGAUUGCUUUUUCAGUGAACCUUUACGUCGGAUUUGGUCUGCAGGUGGUCUUGUGAUCGACUUGAGUUUAAAGUUCUUGAAUCUUCUUCGUCCCCACUGAUUUCAAAGCAAAUCUGGCCGAGAAAUAGUGAGGAUCGCUGGAAUUUUUGGUCCGUCUUUUUUUGUCUCGUCUGAGCUCACCGGAGCUCAAGCUACGUCGGUUUUCGAUCUUCUGUCGUAUUGAUUGGGGUUUUGGGUUCGUCUAUUCUCACGCCGUUCGGGUAGUACAUUCUUGAUACCGAGUGGAUUGUGCUACUAUGGAGGUUUCCUUUCGAGGAUUCCUGUCCCGGGUUUCUUUAUUAUCGACAAAACAUUCUAUCGAGGUCCAUUUCUUAACUCGUCUUUUUUUUAUAUAUAUAUUUGGUUGGUUGUUUGGAUUGGUUGCGAUUAUGAGUGGUGUGAUUAUGGUUUGUUGGAUUUUGUUUAUGUUGAUGUUAUGAUCAUGAUGCUUGGUUGUUUGAUUUUGGUGGAUUGAGGAAUAAAUUUGAUCAUGUUCUAAUGGAUUGAUAGAAAGGAAGUUGGGAUGGAAUUGAAAAAUUGACAAAAAGGAUAGAUUCGGUUUAAUUUUGAUUUAUUGUUGGUAUGAAUCGUGAUAGAUUUACGAUGGGUUGAAACGGAUAGGCAAUAUAGGUUCGGGUAGGUAAAGUUUAAAACUUGUUGUUUUGGUUGAAUGUUAGAAUGUGCGUAUGAAUGUUUCUUCCUAGUUUAUUGUGUUUAAUUGAAAAAUGUAUUCAUUUGAUUGGGGAAUGCCCCGAAGAUUGAUGUAUUUAUUUACCGGGAAAUGCCCCGACGUAUCAUGUUGGCGAAGGCGGAUCGUGAGCAAGGCCCGAGGCAUCGGGUAAAGUCUAGGAGUGUAGUUAGGUUUAGUAUAGGUUAGAUAGGAUUUAUUUUCUCAUUUUUUUAUUUUUGGACUGUAUAAUUGGAUUGAACACUAUACUUUUAUUCGCUUUGUUUGGUUGUUUGAUUACUUUACAUGCUUCUUUGUGGUUUGUACAUUUUCAGUGUCAAAAUUAGCCGAUACACUCUACUAAGCGAUCGUGGUCAAACCACGGGAUCGAGGGGUGCCUAAUACUUUCCCCUUGGUCAACAGAAUUCCUUAGCCAGAAUCUAUGUUCGCGGAUCAGUUUUAGAGUCAAAACCGUUUUGAAAAGGAUAUCCACGGGUGACUUGGCACACUUGAUUUAUGCCAAGUGGCGACUUUGAUUUUUGAAAAAUAAAAAUAAUCUUUUUUCGGAACAAAUCUUCAUUUUGUCACCUUAAUAAUAAAAAUCCUUUCAAACUGUAAAAAUAAUACCUUUUCGAGUUAAAAAAUGGGUGUGACAGAAUUGACUCCAUUCGUGUUUUACCAUACUAGACUGUAGAAUCCGAAAAGUCACUUUCUUCUUUCCAAAUGAACCAAUAAUAGAGUGGGAGGGAUAUUCUUUAUCACCUAGGGGGAAAUUCAUAUCUUAUCUCAAAGUCCGUAAACUUAUAUCCAAGGGUUGUUUGUAUCAUUUUAUUCGGGUCAAAGAUUCUAAUGCUGAAAGUCCUUUCCUCCAGUCUAUCCCACGUAGUUAAUGAAUUCCCAGAAGUUUUUCCCUAUGAUCUCCCUGGGAUACCACCUAAUAGGGAGAUAAAUUUUGGCAUUGAUUUGUUGCCGGGCACUUUUCCUAUUUCUAUUCCGCCAUACAGAAUGACUCCUGCAAAAUUAAAAGAGUUGAAAGAAUAGUUAAAAGAUCUUCUUGACAAGGGCUUUAUCCGUCCUAGUGUUUCACCCUGGGGUGCAGAGGCAAACCCAGGAUUUGAGCUUGACGGGUGCACUUCUAUAUUCAAAUAUUAUAAUUAAUAGUGUCAAAUUUCUACAUAUAGUCCUUUGAAAACUUAUUUAUUAUAGCAUUUUAUAAGAAAAAUUUUAAUAUUAUUGAAUAUCAAUAAUUAAAUUUAAUAUGACAUAAGUGUGUUAUCCAUCGUACUUAAAUUUAAUGCAUUUUUAUACUUUGAACAAUAAUAGAAAGUUUUCGGAAAAUAUGAAAUUCGAGAAAUUUAUUUGCGAGAUGAUUGCUACGGGAAGCAUUUGAUUUAAGCCUAUGAUAAAUUUUAAAUUGCUAAUAUUUUAAAUAAAAAAUAAGUUAAUGAUCACAAGAUAAAAGUAAACUAAAUAUUAUACAGUAUCAGAUAGAAAAAAUUUAUCUUUUAAAAUUGAAGGGAAGCUUGUAUUUUAAAAUAAAAUAAAAAUACGUAAAUAACGUCUAGAAAACAUAAAUAAAAGAAAAAAAGUGAAAUAAGUGACUACUAAUAACAUAUAUAUAUAUAUAUAUAUAUAUAUAUAUAUGUAUAUAUAUAUGUAUGUAUGUAUUUGUACAUUUGAAGGGGAAACAUAGAAAACAACAAUAUGUUGCGUGCAUAGAAAACAACAAUAUUCUGCAGACAGUGCAUAACAUGUAUUUGGAAAAAGGAGGAGCAAUAAAGAUAUGUUGUUAUUGAGUUUCGAACAUGAGUCAUUAGGGUAAAAGGAAAAUAUUUAAAGCAACUGCUAGACCAUCUGGCCAGCCCCAGAGAAGCUGUUAGAGGGUGCAUGAUAUGAACUUACCCUUAUUCUCUGAUAUAUAUAAAAAUAUACAAAGUAUAUAUACAGAAUUUUUUUCGAGGCUAGCGGGUGCACGUGCACCCCCUAUUCUCAACGUAGGUCCGCCCCUGCCGGGGUGCACCCGUACUCUUCGUGCAUAACAAAGACGGCUCCCUCUGUAUGUGUAUAGAUUAUCGUUAACUGAACAAAGUCACCGUAAAUAAUAAAUACCCUCUUCCUAGAAUUAAUGAUCUCUUUGACCACCCUCAGGGUGCUAAAUAUUUCUCUAAAAUAGACCUUCGUUCGGGGUAUCAUCAAUUGAAGGUUAGGGAGGCUGACGUUCCCAAAACAGCUUUCUGAACUCGAUAUGGCCACUAUGAAUUUUUAGUCAUGUCCUUCGGACUGACUAAUGCCCCUACAGCUUUUAUGGACCUAAUGAAUAGGGUGUUCUGUCAGUUUCUAGAUCUGUUCGUCAUAGUCUUCAUUGACAAUAUUUUGGUCUACUCUAAGAGUGAGGAGGAGCAUGUCAAUCACCUCCGAAUUAUCAUUCAGACCCUCAAAGAUCAUGAGUUGUAUGUAAAGUUUUCCAAAUGUGAAUUCUGGCUUAGUCCUAUCGCUUUCCUGGGGCACAUUAUUUCUAGUGAGGGAAUUAAGGUUGACCCCAAAAGGUUGAGGCAGUGAGAAAAUAGCCCAGACCCACGACUCCAACCAAUAUUCGGAGCUUCUUGGGUUUGGCAGGGUAUUAUAGAAGGUUCGUAGAGAGUUUUUCCUCAAUAGUUGCUCCACUUACUAAAUUGACUCAGGAAAAGGUGAAAUUUUUGUGGUCUGACUCUUGUGAGAAUAAUUUUGAGAAACUGAAAGACAAUUUGACUAUCGCACCAGUUUUGACCCUUUCCGAGGGUACAAAGGGCUUUGUUGUGUACUGUGAUGCAUCUCGAGUGAAACUUGGGUGUGUGCUUAUGCAGGAUGGUAAGGUGGUAGCUUAUGCAUCUAGGCAGUUAAAGGUGCACGAAAAGAAUUAUCCUACCCACGACUUGGAGUUAGCAGCAGUAGUUAAGGAGAAACAGGCCGAGGACCUCAUUUUGAUGCAAAUUAAGAAAGAUGUUGGUUAACAAAGUUUAUGGCGUUUGAAAUUAGAGGUGAUGGAAUUUUGAGGUAUCAAGAUAGGUUAUGUGUACCGAAUAUGGAUGAAUUACGGAAAAGAAUUCUUGAUGAAGCUUACACUUCGAGGUAUGUUGUUCACCUAGGCUAUACAAAAAUGUAUCAUGACCUUAAGGUGAUUUACUGGUGGAAUAAUAUGAAAAGAGAUGUUGCUAAUUUUGUUUCUAAGUGUUUGAAUUGUCAACAAGUCAAGGUAGAACAAUUGGGACCAGCUGACACUUCUCAAGAGAUAGCUUUACCUAUGUGGAAGUGGGAGAUAAUUAAUAUGGACUUCAUAUGGGGUUCCCGAAGUCCCAGAACCAAUAUGACUCAAUUUGGGUGAUUGUAGAUCGAAUGACUAAGUCCGCUCAUUUUCUUCCAGUACGAACGAAUUAUUCGGAGGAUGACUAUUCUAAGUUAUACAUUCGAGAGAUAACCCAUUUGCAUGGUGCUCCUGUGUCUAUUAUAUUCAACCGAGGUACACAAUUCUCCUUGUAGUUUUGAUAAUUUUUUCAAGAGGGUUUAGGCACCCAAGUGAACCUAAGUACCGCUUUCCACCCUCAGACAGAUGGGCAGGCAGAACACACCAUUCAGACCUUAGAAGAUAUGUUGAAGGCCUGCGUGAUAGGCUUCAAGGGUAGUUGGGUGGAUUAUUUACUGUUGAUAGAAUUCACCUAUAAUAAUAGUUACUAUUCCAGUGUACAGAUGGCUCCUUUUGAAGCACUUUAUGGGAGGAGAUGUAGGUCUCUGAUAGGAUGGUAUGAUAUGGGUGAAACCCGAUUGUUUGGGCCUGACCUUGUUCAUCAGAUGAUGGAGAAAGUGAAGAUCAUUAGAGAGCGACUUAAGACAACUCUGAGUUGCCAAAAAUCCUAUGUCGACGUUAGAAGGAGAGAUUUGGAGUUCGAGGUUGAUGAUUGGGUAUUUCUAAAGGUCCCCUCUAUGAAGGGAGUCAUGUGAUUUAGAAAGAAAGGAAAGCUUGGUCCUCGUUAUAUAGGACCAUAUCAGAUUAUGAGGAGGAUCGGUGGGGUUACUUAUGGUUUAGAUUUGCCCACGAGUCUGGUUUCUGUUCAUCCAGUGUUUCAUGUAUCCAUGUUGAAAAAGUGUAUUAGAGAUCAUUCCCCGGUGUUUCUUGUAGAGGAGAUUAAGGUAAAAGACUCUCUGAAGAAGAACCUAUUGCCAUUUUCGAUCACUAAGUUCGGAAGUUAAGAAGUAGGUGGAAAAAUCAAAAAGUCGAGGAAGCUACUUGGGAGUCGGAGGAUAACAUGCGUGCAAGGUAACUUGCUCUUUUUGAAACUAUGGAUGAUGAUAUUGAAGGUGCAAAUCAUAUACUACUCUCUCUCUCUCUUUUCCUUAGUAUGCUUGAGAUCGUGCUUGUCUGUGACCCGAGUCAUCAUUCAGGGAUGAAUGAUCCCCAAGAGGGGAUAAUGUAACACCCCAUAGCAUUCUCGACUUCACACCACGCUUAGUAGAAUGCAUAGAGAGCUUACAACCAGAAAUUUUUCUAAGUGUUAAAUUAAUUUCAAUAAUUUUUAAAUUGAUCUUUCCGACCCCGAGAUAUAGAUUUUUGAGUUGAUUCAUGUUCAGGGGUGUAAAAGGGAUGUCUCAGAAAAGUUUUGAAUUUUUCGGAUGAGGUUUGGGACGUGUUUGGAUUUUGAAAAUAGUAGGUCACCACAAUUGCACCGUAUCGCGGUGCCUAUAGCGAUGAGACCUCUGUCGCAUCGCAGUGAGUCCAAAAAAUGGGUUUCAGUUGCGUAUUUAAAUUCUGAGGGUUAGCCUCGUCGUUCCCUAUAGCCCCAAAUCAUGAUAACAAUAGAUUAAGACGUCAUUAGGGCAUUAUAUGCUCAACAUUAUGCAAUUCCUCUCAAAAAGUAAACCCUAACUCUUCCUCAAAGAUCAAGAAUCCAACCCCUAAGUUCAAGAUUUUCUUUAAAAGAGUCAAGACUAGGGUUCCAAUCUUCAAACUAAGUGACCUAAGGUACGCAGGGAUUUCCUAAACUUCAUGGGUAUAUUGUAAUCAUUUUGAGUAAGUUUUAAAGUUAAGAAAUCAUAUAUUUACGAAAGAUUUUUGAACUUGCAUUAACAAGUAUGCAUUGUGAAGCCUUUUUGAUAAUAAUGCUUGGUCUUGAGGACUUUCCUUAAAUUUGAUUUUUACUCGUAUAUAUGUAUGUAUGCAUUUUGAGUUUGAAAGUUGAAUUGAGAGCAUGGACAUUUAUACUCACUCUCUUAUUAUGACACCCAUUGAUUUCACAUGUUAUGAAUUGAUGAAUUUCAUAUUUAGAAGCAUGGUAUAAAUGCUUUUUCGGCUAGUGUUAAAUGAUUUGAGAUUGGUUGUGAACUGAAGAGAGGAUGUUUUAUUGUUGGUAAAUGUUUACGAUGAUUAUUGAAAGAAUUUCAUGAUUUUCUACAAAGUAAAUGACCACCAUAUGUUUAUGAAUUGAAAGAGAGAAUCUUUGCAUAAGUUCAUGUAUUUCGAUAGAAAAAUUCUCAUGUACUGUUUGAAUGAUUUGGUGGUCCAAACAUUUUGUUUGAAUGAAAUGACUGUAAUGAAAUGCCACAACAGAAUAAGAUUUUCAGAUUUUGAUUUCAAAAGAUGCAUGUCUUAAUGAUAUUAAAAAUGGGCUUAAAGAGAUUUAGGUGGUUUCCCGAAGAAGGCAUUCGCGUUUAAGGACUCAUUGCUAGAUACCGUGUUUUGCCGAUACGGAUUAUGAUGUCCCAAGAUAGGGAUUUUAUGCUGGCCUUGUGCCCUUUGGUGUAUUAGAGAUAGAGACUCCGACCCUUGUGGCAAACUUGGGUUAGGGGCUUCACCGCUGAGUUAAGGGCGGAUUCCAUAUAUCCCGUGGGAUUAUAGAGAUGUAGGGUGUACCACCUAACUCAAAAGUAAGACAAAGAGUCAAGUUGAGAUUCUUACAUAUGUUUUGAAACCUACUGAUUAUGCCCAUGUGUUUUCAAAUGUUUUCUGCUGACAUGUUUUAUGAAAUGCUCUCACCUAUAUUAUAUAAAACUGUAUUUUGUUUUUGGAUUGUUCUAUGUACCAGUACAUUUGUAUUGACCCCCUAUAUUUCAAGAUCUGAGGCUCAAUCCCGGGGUCCCGCUAAGCAAUAGAUUGGGAUGUCAGAAGUUUGCAGCUGGUGAGCCUCCCUUAUUUCGGAAGGCCUUGGUUAUGGAACAUUGAUAUUUGAUGUUUAGUUCAUGAUCCGACUGGGAUCCUUGUCCCAAUUUUCAGACAGAUGUCGUUCACGUAUUAUUAGAGAUUUCGCAAACUGGUGUUAAAUGUUUCUGAAUGUUUAUGAACUUCUUCUAUUCAUAAUGAUUAGUUGGAUUGAGAGAAUGACCAUGUUUUCGUUUUGCUAUGUUUUUUUUUUCUUCUGUAUUUCUUUAGAGUAUAUGAAUUGUGUAUAUGACUGUCAG